GUGAAAUUGCCAUUGGAUCACGUAUUCUACUCAGAAAAAGAGUAAUCGGUAGAAGCAAAAUUCAAGAUACGUGGGAUUCAACGCCGUAUCGAGUUGUUGGUGCUCCAGGUGAUAACGUGUACACUAUUCAAAUUGUGGAUGGUUCUGGACCAACAAGAAACGUCACACGAAGAGAAAUCCUAGACACGGGUGAAAUUGUGUAUUCAGAAGAUGACAGUGAUUCAACUAUUUCUGAUUCCGAUUCUGAAAGUGAAAACCGUGUGUUUAUUCUUAAAAAUGUGCAAAAUUGUGAUCCAGCAAGUGAUAAUGAUGUUGAAGAGACCGAAUUGUCUUUACCGGAUACAUCGGUAGCACCCUCAGUACAACCUAGACGUACAACGCGCAGCACUGCUGGAAAACAUUCCAAUCUUCACCACUUACCAACUUCCGCCAUCAGAUCUCAAACAGUAACAGAAGAUGUACACGAUUUUCAACAGUUAAGUCAGGCUGUUGCGAAUCUCGGUGCUUCUUUGGCUUCUACACUCACCCAAGCGUGGGCUCAGUAUAAAUACUAGAUUGAUUUUAUUUAUGUAGAGUAUGAAUGGUAGAGUGACUGUUUAUUAUUUAUUGAUAUAUUUAAUUCAGUAAUUUAUUCAUUGCAGUGUAAAGCAAUGUUAAACAGGGGGAAUAUGUAACAGAUGUGUUUAAAAAAUAUUUAUUUUUUUGUAUCAUUUUCAAUGUAGAAAGUAUUAGAUUAAGAUAAAAAGUUACAGCCGUGACGGGGUGUCGAACCGCGUACCUAUCGUGUGUUAAUCGGGUGACUUACCCACUAGUCUAUGUGUCGCACUGCUUAUAUAAGUUUUUUAAAGAUAGUCCUUUAGUCAAUGGAUGUUUUCAUAUAAAUAUUAUUUCGAUAUUUUUCACGCUAAACAAAUUAAGAUAGUUGUUUUAUUGGAUAAACCUCAGAUUACUUAUAUUUUUCUUUAAUAUAUAUAAAUCAUUUUUAGAUUUUUUGGUAAUAUAAGAUUUUCUUUGUUCUAAAACUUCCGGUCGCUAACUUACAGCCAUUUGAAAAUUGCUCUCGACCGGGACACAUCAUUUGAAUGUGUGUGUAGCCGACAUACAUAGUAUAACUACCUAUAAGGAGUUACUAUACGCUCUGUCCCACCCUUACUUAGGGAACGACACAUAUAUAUAUAACCUACUGGAAUAAAGCGUAAUCUCAAAAGUCUGGUUGUUUACAC